CGCGGAGCGACGUAUCGGAUUACUGGGCGUAAGCGCAUGCAGGUGGUUUGUUAAGUCAGAUGUGAAAGCCCGGGGCUCAACCUCGGAAUUGCAUUUGAAACUGGCAGACUAGAGUACUGUAGAGGGGGGUAGAAUUUCAGGUGUAGCGGUGAAAUGCGUAGAGAUCUGAAGGAAUACCGGUGGCGAAGGCGGCCCCCUGGACAGAUACUGACACUCAGAUGCGAAAGCGUGGGGAGCAAACAGGAUUAGAUACCCUGGUAGUCCACGCCGUAAACGAUGUCUACUUGGAGGUUGUGGCCUUGAGCCGUGGCUUUCGGAGCUAACGCGUUAAGUAGACCGCCUGGGGAGUACGGUCGCAAGAUUAAAACUCAAAUGAAUUGACGGGGGCCCGCACAAGCGGUGGAGCAUGUGGUUUAAUUCGAUGCAACGCGAAGAACCUUACCUACUCUUGACAUCCAGAGAACUUUCCAGAGAUGGAUUGGUGCCUUCGGGAACUCUGAGACAGGUGCUGCAUGGCUGUCGUCAGCUCGUGUUGUGAAAUGUUGGGUUAAGUCCCGCAACGAGCGCAACCCUUAUCCUUGUUUGCCAGCGAGUAAUGUCGGGAACUCCAGGGAGACUGCCGGUGAUAAACCGGAGGAAGGUGGGGACGACGUCAAGUCAUCAUGGCCCUUACGAGUAGGGCUACACACGUGCUACAAUGGCGCAUACAGAGGGCAGCCAACUUGCGAGAGUGAGCGAAUCCCAAAAAGUGCGUCGUAGUCCGGAUCGGAGUCUGCAACUCGACUCCGUGAAGUCGGAAUCGCUAGUAAUCGUGGAUCAGAAUGCCACGGUGAAUACGUUCCCGGGCCUUGUACACACCGCCCGUCACACCAUGGGAGUGGGCUGCAAAAGAAGUAGGUAGUUUAACCUUCGGGAGGACGCUACCACUUUUGUAACGCC
rnacentral:rRNA from 1 species